rnacentral:rRNA from 1 species
GGAUUGACACAUCGGUCGUGCCUUAAGGGGUAUGAACUGGUGUAGUCAAUUUCUCACCUUCUGGAGAACCGCGAUGCCCUUAAUUGGGUGUCACGGGGAACCAGGACCUUUACUUUGAAAAAAUUAGAGUGUUCAAAGCAGGCGUAACUCGCCUCCGAAUACGUUAGCAUGGGAUAAUGG